UACGGAGGAUCCGAGCGUUAUCCGGAUUUAUUGGGUUUAGAGGGUGCGUAGGCGGUUUGAUAAGUUAGAGGUGAAAUGUCGGGGCUCAACCCCGAAACUGCCUCUAAUACUGUUGGACUAGAGAAUAGUUGCGGUAGGCGGAAUGUAUGGUGUAGCGGUGAAAUGCUUAGAGAUCAUACAGAACACCGAUUGCGAAGGCAGCUUACCAAACUAUAUCUGACGUUGAGGCACGAAAGCGUGGGUAGCAAACAGG
rnacentral:rRNA from 1 species